GAAAAAGGCAAGCAAUGCAUCUAAAAAUGAAAAUUUCAAGUUACAGCCACGUAUAGUUUUAAAAAGAGUUACAGUAUCUUCGCCUAGAUACAAAUUACGAUCAAAUUGUAGGAAUAAAGUGAACAAAUAAAGUGCUGCUGUACUUCAGUUAGAUAAACGUUACAAAUGUGAUAACAAAUGUUAAUCAUUUAAUUAAAAAAAAAAACCUGAAGUAGAUUUACCGUAAAAAUGUAUCUCAGGUAGAUGAUAUUUUAU